GGAAGAUGGUUUUAUGGAUUCCGUAUGAGAGACGAACAACAAACUCGUCGAGUCUCUCUGGCAGAACUCUUAAUGGAAGAAGGGGAAGAUGUUCUUGGGGUGCUUAGCCGAGGUGCUGUUCACGAGGUGCUUCGAGUUCAGGUUUCUGUAGGCGAUCCCUUUGGCAGUCACUGGUCUCAGCAAAGCACAUAAAAUAAAAACCCUUGGCAUCUCCCACGUAAGCAUUCUGCAACUGCUAUGAUCUAUAUGCAAAUAGUUGUUUCAUUAUGUAUUUCAAAUAAUUGCUUGUAGAUUAUUCAUGCAGAUAUCUAAAUGUAAAUAUUUG
rnacentral:misc_RNA from 1 species